rnacentral:rRNA from 1 species
UAAUACGUAGGGGGCGAGCGUUGUCCGGAUUCAUUGGGCGUAAAGAGCUCGUAGGCGGCUUGGCAAGUCGGGUGUGAAAUCUCUGGGCUCAACUCAGAGAGGCCACUCGAUACUGCUAUGGCUAGAGUCCGGUAGGGGACCAUGGAAUUCCUGGUGUAGCGGUGAAAUGCGCAGAUAUCAGGAGGAACACCGGUGGCGAAGGCGGUGGUCUGGGCCGGCACUGACGCUGAGGAGCGAAAGCGUGGGGAGCGAACAGGAUUAGAUACCCUGGUAGUCCACGCCGUAAACGUUGGGCACUAGGUGUGGGGCCUUAUCAACGGGUUCCGUGCCGUAGCUAACGCAUUAAGUGCCCCGCCUGGGGAGUACGGCCGCAAGGCUAAAACUCAAAGGAAUUGACGG